rnacentral:rRNA from 1 species
AUUGAACGCUGGCGGCAGGCCUAACACAUGCAAGUCGAACGGUAGCACAGAGAGCUUGCUCUCGGGUGACGAGUGGCGGACGGGUGAGUAAUGUCUGGGAAACUGCCCGAUGGAGGGGGAUAACUACUGGAAACGGUAGCUAAUACCGCAUAACGUCGCAAGACCAAAGUGGGGGACCUUCGGGCCUCACACCAUCGGAUGUGCCCAGAUGGGAUUAGCUAGUAGGUGGGGUAAUGGCUCACCUAGGCGACGAUCCCUAGCUGGUCUGAGAGGAUGACCAGCCACACUGGAACUGAGACACGGUCCAGACUCCUACGGGAGGCAGCAGUAGGGAAUAUUGCACAAUGGGCGCAAGCCUGAUGCAGCCAUGCCGCGUGUAUGAAGAAGGCCUUCGGGUUGUAAAGUACUUCCAGCGGGGAGGAAGGCGGUGAAGUUAAUAACUUCACCGAUUGACGUUACCCGCAGAAGAAGCACCGGCUAACUCCGUGCCAGCCGCCGCAGUAA